GACGAACGCUAGCGGCGUGCCUAAGAAAUGCAAGUUGAGCGAGGUGAUGGACUUCGGUCUGUUUACCUAGCAGCGAACGGUCGCGUAACACGUAAGCAACCUGCCUCGAAGUUUGGGAUAGCCCUCCGAAAGGAGGAGUAAUACCGGAUGUGGAUAUAUUUUAGACAUCUUUAUAUAUCUAAAAGCAGCAAUGCGCUUCGAGAUGGGCUUGCGGCCUAUCAGCUAGUUGGUGGGGUAACGGCCCACCAAGGCAACGACGGGUAGCUGGUCUGAGAGGAUGAUCAGCCGGAUUGGGACUGAGAUACGGCCCAGACUCCUACGGGGGGCAGCAAUUAGGAAUCUUGCGCAAUGGGCGAAAGCCUGACGCAGCGACGCCGCGUGACUGAUGAAGUCUUUCGGGAUGUAAAGGUCUUUUCUGAAGGAAGAAACAAAUGACGGUACUUCAGGAAUAAGCCCCGGCUAACUACGUG
rnacentral:rRNA from 1 species